UGGGGAAUAUUGGACAAUGGGCGAAAGCCUGAUCCAGCCAUGCCGCGUGUGUGAAGAAGGUCUUCGGGUUGUAAAGCACUUUAAGUUGGGAGGAAGGGCAGUAAGCGAAUACCUUGCUGUUUUGACGUUACCGACAGAAUAAGCACCGGCUAACUCUGUGCCAGCAGCCGCGGUAAUACAGAGGGUGCAAGCGUUAAUCGGAAUUACUGGGCGUAAAGCGCGCGUAGGUGGUUCGUUAAGUUGAAUGUGAAAGCCCCGGGCUCAACCUGGGAACUGCAUCCAAAACUGGCGAGCUAGAGUAGGGCAGAGGGUGGUGGAAUUUCCUGUGUAGCGGUGAAAUGCGUAGAUAUAGGAAGGAACACCAGUGGCGAAGGCGACCACCUGGGCUCAUACUGACACUGAGGUGCGAAAGCGUGGGGAGCAAACAGG
rnacentral:rRNA from 1 species